UUACGAUUCAAUUGGUUCUCAUUUGGUUUAAUUUUUCUUUUGAUCAUGUGUUGUGAUAUUUGAAGUGUGUUUUGACAAGUUUUAGUUUUAUUAGUUAGUUAGAUUAGAUCGCUCUUUGAAUCAUUUUUUCAUUAGUAAAAUUGGAUUGGUUUUUUAGCUUUGUUAAUUCACUAGUUAUGGCUUUAUUAAGCUCUUAGAAUAAUUGUAGUUAAACUUCAACUAGGGUUAUUUCAGUCUAGUAAAAUUCAGGGUAAAGGCAGGGGUAGUUUGGGCAUUUAACCAUAUGAUAGAAUAGAAUCCCCAGAAUCUUUUAGAAUGGGGCUCAAGUUUAUAUUUCAGUAAGUUUAGGGUUCAGUCUAGUAAAAUUCAGGGUAAAGACAGGGGUAUUUUGGGCAUUUAACCAUAGGAUAGAAUUUUGUAGAUUAGAAUAGAAUUCCCUAGAAUCUUCUAGAAUGGGGCUCACAUUUAGAUUUUAGUAAGUUUAGGAUAUUAACUUGAGUGACAAGUCAGAACUUCAGGACUAUCUGAAUAAAAUCUUAAAACAAAGAGGGGGAAAAUGAAUGAGGGAAUUCUAGAAUCUUCCUACCCCCUUCUUGCAUAUAAAAGGCAGCCCCAAUGCAUUAAGAAACAAUUUUGGAAGCCCAAAAAUUCCCCUAAAAACCUUUCCUGCAUAUCUGAAUCCCUAGUUUGAAUUUCAAAUUUAGAAUUUUAAAAAUAUGAACUCUUAUAGUUUCCACCUUCUUUUAGAUCUGAAUUCCUAUUCAAAAAUCCAAAAACAAACAGAAAUAUAGUAAAAAAAAGGUAUUGUUUCAUUGAAAUUUUAGUAUGAUUUUGAUUUCUAGUUGUUAAUUCACAUCUUCUCGUCCAAUAUCUAUUGGCUGGGAGCUUUAGAGGUGUCCUGGUUCAAAUUCGAGCUAGUUUUGGUUUACAUGAGUUGUGUUGGUCGUUCAAACUGCAUUUGGUUAAUUCAGUCAGUUUUUGGGUCUAGUUGCUGUUGUUUCUCGCUACUAGUUUUACAAAAUUCAAGCUGAAAUAGCUGUGAUAGUCCUUCACUGCUUGAAUCUGUGCCUCUCACAUUGCUGCUGAUCUCUCCUUUCCUCAUUUCUCUUAUCAAAUUCCAGGUACACACUCUGGACUAACUCAAUGUAGCUUCUCCUGUCAAACAAUGAAAUGAAACGGAGGCGAUUCUCUACUGUAGAUCUACUGUUUGAUAAUUCUAUCAUGUUUAAGUAGAUUUUCUGUGAUUUGGUUGGUCGUUCAAUGUAAUUAACUUUGGAUUGUAAUUAGGACUGCUUUAAAGUGAUUUGGACUGUCUUUUCUGGACUUUCAAUUUGUAGUAAUUGAUCAAACUCUAUAAUUGUAUAAUUGUUCUAAUGGUGGCAUUAUUUGUGAACACUAGAAUUAGCAGGCUAUUAACACUAGAAAAAUAGGGGGCAAUCAUUGAGAUUUGAAUAGAGUAUUUUAAAAAUUGUGUUAAAUGGACUGUGAGCUAUAUUUGUAUAAUCCAUGUCGGUGUGGUUGUGUUAAUUUAAGCAUUGUUUGAGGACCGACUGAAAAUGAGUAUUAACUUAGGAUUUAACCAAAUAUGAGCAUAAUUCUCUAGGUUCUUCGGAGUUUAGUUUACUUUUGGAAAUCAUAAACAUCAUAUCAAUACGAUAGGUGUUGCGUCUCCUGUUUAACAGACGUUGGCUACGCUAAUUCAUUCAUUGAGUUCAAUAAUUAAUUAUAGUACUUCCUUGGAUUAUAUCUAAUCAGAAUACAAGUUAAAAUAAGAUUGAUGGUUGCUGAGUUGAUCGAAUUUGGAAUUACCUUCAGUUGUUACUCAAAAUUCUGAACCUAAUUGUGCAAACUCAACCGUGAGUACUUAGCUGAUCCUAAGCAUUCUGAGCUUAACAGCCCAUUCAGGUGUUUUGGUGUCACUGAUGCCUGAGCUACUUAUGUUUAUGAUGUAGCGUUCGAAAUGGGCCUGUAGUAAGGCCCAAGGAUGGUUGGCCGCUCCUGAAAUAAAAAAGCUGGUUAUUUAUAUUGGGCUGAACUUGAGAACAGAUACACUAACGACUCUCACUCCUUUAAUCAUGAUUUAGUUUAGGCUUUGGGCCUAUAAAUUAAAUUUCUUUUAGAGAUAAUCCCUUAAUAGAUAACCAUAGUCCAUUUCGAGGAUGCCUUUUAUAUAAAUGAGACGAGCCUCGCUGAACAAAACACAUAAAUUGCGGGACCCUCGAUAAAUACCUGUAUUAAAUACUUAGAAUUCAGGAUGGGCCGCCUAGCAAAUAUUGUUUUACCCAAAGAUAAUAACGUGUUAGUAUCUUUAGGCGCAUAUUAUAAUAACAUUACCUACUAAACUCGGGUGCACAAUUAUAUAACCCAAAUCCAAAUCUCAACGAAGUCGAAAUAUGUCAACAACCACGGGUGUAUUUAUGUGACGUGGUUCGAGAAACGUUUUUACGACAUUGCAAUUCUCGUUAAAAAUAAUAAUAAAAACGAUUAAGAUUAAAAGCACAUAAGAAAAAAUAUGUUUUGAAAUAAGAUA
rnacentral:lncRNA from 1 species